GACGAACCGUGCGAACGUUGUUCGGAAUCACUGGGCCUAAAGGGCGCGUAGGCGGCUUUUCAAGUCAGGGGUGAAAUCCGGCAGCUCAACUGUCGAAGUGCCUUUGAUACUGGGAAGCUCGAGGGAGGUAGGGGUGUGUGGAACUUCCGGUGGAGCGGUGAAAUGCGUUGAUAUCGGAAGGAACGCCGGUGGCGAAAGCGACGCACUGGACCUCUUCUGACGCUGAGGCGCGAAAGCCAGGGGAGCAAACGGG
rnacentral:rRNA from 1 species